rnacentral:rRNA from 1 species
UACGAAGGGGGCUAGCGUUGCUCGGAAUGACUGGGCGUAAAGGGCGCGUAGGCGGAUGGUACAGUUAGAUGUGAAAUUCCCGGGCUCAACCUGGGGGCUGCAUUUGAUACGUGCUGUCUUGAGUUCGGAAGAGGGUCGUGGAAUUCCCAGUGUAGAGGUGAAAUUCGUAGAUAUUGGGAAGAACACCGGUGGCGAAGGCGGCGACCUGGUCCGAGACUGACGCUGAGGCGCGAAAGCGUGGGGAGCAAACAGG